GACGAACGCUGGCGGCGUGCUUAACACAUGCAAGUCGAACGGAAAGGCCCUGCUUUUGUGGGGUGCUCGAGUGGCGAACGGGUGAGUAACACGUGAGUAACCUGCCCUUGACUUUGGGAUAACUUCAGGAAACUGGGGCUAAUACCGGAUAGGAGCUCCUGCUGCAUGGUGGGGGUUGGAAAGUUUCGGCGGUUGGGGAUGGACUCGCGGGUUAUCAGGUUGUUGGUGGGGUAGUGGCUUACCAAGGCUUUGACGGGUAGCCGGCCUGAGAGGGUGACCGGACACAUUGGGACUGAGAUACGGCCCAGACUCCUACGGGAGGCAGCAGUGGGGAAUAUUGCACAAUGGGCGGAAGCCUGAUGCAGCAACGCCGCGUGCGGGAUGACGGCCUUCGGGUUGUAAACCGCUUUCGCCUGUGACGAAGCGUGAGUGACGGUAAUGGGUAAAGAAGCACCGGCUAACUACGUG
rnacentral:rRNA from 1 species